AUUGAACGCUGGCGGAAUGCUUUACACAUGCAAGUCGAACGGCAGCACGGACUUCGGUCUGGUGGCGAGUGGCGAACGGGUGAGUAAUGUAUCGGAACGUGCCCAGUCGUGGGGGAUAACGUAGUGUAAAUUACGCUAAUACCGCAUACGAUCUAUGGAUGAAAGCGGGGGAUCGCAAGACCUCGCGCGAUUGGAGCGGCCGAUAUCAGAUUAGGUAGUUGGUGGGGUAAAGGCCACCAAGCCAACGAUCUGUAGCUGGUCUGAGAGGACGACCAGCCACAGUGGAACUGAGGCACGGUUCAGACUCCUGCGGGAGGCAGCAGUGGGGAAUGUUGGACAAUGGGCGAAAGCCUGAUCCAGCCAUUCCGCGUGCAGGAUGAAGGCCCUCGGGUUGUAAACUGCUUUUGUACAGAACGAAAAGGUUUCUACUAAUACUAGGAGCUCAUGACGGUACUGUAAGAAUAAGCACCGGCUAACUACGUGCCAGCCGCCGCAGUAA
rnacentral:rRNA from 1 species